rnacentral:lncRNA from 1 species
GAGAAGAUGAUUCAUUACUUACCUUUCACGGAGCACUGAACGAAUAGAUCGACUAACUUCUAGGAGAUUCUUCCGUGCCUAUUAUUCAAAAUUAUAUUUUUACAUUAAUUUUAAUUCAAAAUUUAAUCUAAAUAAAUCCCAAAUCAAGACCUCACUUAAAAUCAGACUCUUCCCUGAACUCGAUCAAAAUCAUCAAAUGAAGCCUUCCACUAUGCUAAUCUUAGAAGGAUAACUUUAGAGAGAGAGAAAUCCAUCAAGAGAGAGAAACAGGCUAGAUAAAGAAAAUUCUAGAGAGAGAAAGUAGAGAGAGAAAGUCCAAUUUCAGAGAGAGAAAAUCAGGGUUCAGUCUGAAAGAAGAGAGAGAAGAGAGAGAAACUCUCUCUCUCAUCAAUUUCAAUUUUUAUUUAUUUAUUUAUUUAUUUACUUAUUUAUU